GACCUCAAAUCAGAUAAGACUACCCGCUGAACUUAAGCAUAUCAAUAAGCGGAGGA
rnacentral:rRNA from 1 species